rnacentral:rRNA from 1 species
UACGUAGGGGGCAAGCGUUAUCCGGAUUUACUGGGUGUAAAGGGAGCGUAGACGGCGAUGCAAGCCAGAUGUGAAAGCCCGGGGCUCAACCCCGGGACUGCAUUUGGAACUGUGUGGCUGGGGUGUCGGAGAGGCAAGUGGAAUUCCUAGUGUAGCGGUGAAAUGCGUAGAUAUUAGGAGGAACACCAGUGGCGAAGGCGGCUUGCUGGACGAUGACUGACGUUGAGGCUCGAAAGCGUGGGGAGCAAACAGG